GCUAUAUGAACAACUGAGAUAUUAGGAUGAGAAUGAAGCAAAAGCCUCAGAUCAAGAUAAAUCGCAUCUAAUUCCCAAGAAGGUGAAGAAGGGAAAUUGAUAGCUUGCACUAGCUGCAAAGAGCCAGAUUCCAAAAAAGCUGGCAUAUAACCCCUUCUAAUAGCAAAUAUAGCAGACAUUCUCAAAGCUUGGCCUUCAGCAACUAAAGAAGAACUCCAGCAAACAGACCCAAAACCAUCUAACACUUUCUUAGAAUGAGAAACGAAAGAGGCAUCAAAAUUAACCUUAAAGCAACCAGCCUGAGGACAAGUCCAAUGCCUAUUUGAAACAACAACAGAUGGACAAGAGAUAGAUCCAGAGUGUUGUUGUUGGGGUGCUAAAAAAAGCAACUUAUCAAGAGCAUUCUGAGCCUUGUUGACUGAUUCGAGGAGACUAGGGUGUAUAUUAUCAAAAAGCAAUCUGUUUCUAGUUUUUCAAAUCUGCUAGCAUAUGAG
rnacentral:lncRNA from 1 species